rnacentral:snoRNA from 1 species
GUGAUGAACACCUCGAUCUCCGAUCGCUGGGAUGAGGAUGCGGUGGCUGUCUGA